rnacentral:piRNA from 1 species
UAAUUGGCUUUGUGUGUGUAGCACAAAUUU